UACGAAGGGUGCAAGCGUUAAUCGGAAUUACUGGGCGUAAAGCGCACGUAGGCGGGCCCACAAGUCGGUUGUGAAAUCCUGGGGCUUAACCCCAGAACUGCGGCCGAUACUAUGGGCCUUGAGGGUGAGAGGGGAGAGUGGAACUUCUGGUGGAGCGGUGAAAUGCGUAGAUAUCAGAAGGAACACCGGUGGCGAAAGCGACUCUCUGGUUCACUACUGACGCUGAGGUGCGAAAGCUAGGGGAGCAAACGGGAUUAGAUACCCUAGUAGU
rnacentral:rRNA from 1 species